GUGGGGAAUUUUGCGCAAUGGGCGAAAGCCUGACGCAGCAACGCCGCGUGUGUGAUGAAGGUCUUCGGAUUGUAAAGCACUUUCGACCGGGACGAACCGCUGUUGGCUAACAUCCAGCAGCCUGACGGUACCGGGAGAAGAAGCACCGGCUAACUCUGUGCCAGCAGCCGCGGUAAUACAGAGGGUGCAAGCGUUGUUCGGAAUUAUUGGGCGUAAAGCGCGUGUAGGCGGCUUUGCAAGUCGCGUGUGAAAGCCCUCGGCUCAACCGAGGAAGUGCGCGCGAAACUGCAGAGCUUGAGUACCGGAGAGGAUGGCGGAAUUCCCCAAGUAGAGGUGAAAUUCGUAGAUAUGGGGAGGAACACCGGUGGCGAAGGCGGCCAUCUGGACGGAUACUGACGCUGAGACGCGAAAGCGUGGGGAGCAAACAGGAUUAGAAACCCUGGUAGUCC
rnacentral:rRNA from 1 species